UACGUAGGGGGCAAGCGUUGUCCGGAAUCAUUGGGCGUAAAGAGCGUGUAGGCGGUCCGGUCAGUCGGUUGUGAAAGUCAAGGGCUCAACCCUUGAAUGCCGGCCGAUACUGCCGGGCUAGAGUCCGGAAGAGGUGAGUGGAAUUCCUGGUGUAGCGGUGGAAUGCGCAGAUAUCAGGAGGAACACCGGUGGCGAAGGCGGGACUGGGUCAGUACUGACGCUGAGGAG
rnacentral:rRNA from 1 species